AUCUUGAAAUACUAUAUAGUAACAGCUUUUGUUUGUAUGAUCCAACACGUAAAUGAAAAACUCUAUCAUAUCUGUCGUGUCAACGAUUUCAACAGUGAAGCAUACAGAAUAAAGAAGAAUGGUGUUUGUUUAUAAGAUUACUGCUCUUAUAAUUGUAUUCUGCUUAUUUGACUGUGAGUAUACACAUACUUAAUUUAAUUCAGAUGUCGUCAUUUAAAAAAAAGAUAGACUUUCUAAUAAAGACAGCAGAAAUCAUUUUGUCAUGCGUUCAUCUCCACGUAUACUAGUCUUGUAUAACAUGCUGCUUCCUCAC
rnacentral:lncRNA from 1 species